GAUGAACGCUGGCGGCGUGCCUAAUACAUGCAAGUCGAGCGAAUGGAUUAAGAGCUUGCUCUUAUGAAGUUAGCGGCGGACGGGUGAGUAACACGUGGGUAACCUGCCCAUAAGACUGGGAUAACUCCGGGAAACCGGGUAUAAUACCGGAUAACAUUUUGAACCGCAUGGUUCGAAAUUGAAAGGCGGCUUCGGCUGCCACUUAUGGAUGGACCAGCGUCGCAUUAGCUAGUCGGUGAGGUAACGGCUCACCAAGGCAACGAUGCGUAGCCGACCUGAGAGGGUGAUCGGCCACACUGGGACUGAGACACGGCCCAGACUCCUACGGGAGGCAGCAGUAGGGAAUCUUCCGCAAUGGACGAAAGUCUGACGGAGCAACGCCGCGUGAGUGAUGAAGGCUUUCGGGUCGUAAAACUCUGUUGUUAGGGAAGAACAAGUGCUAGUUGAAUAAGCUGGCACCUUGACGGUACCUAACCAGAAAGCCACGGCUAACUACGUGCCAGCCGCCGCGGUAA
rnacentral:rRNA from 1 species